GGAGCUGGAUAGGCAUUUGCAGGAUCAGUUAUUGGUAUUGAGGAAAGUCCGGGUUCCGGAUGGCAGGGUGCCCGGCUAUGUCUGGGCACAGUGUGAACCGAUGGUCCAUGCAACAGAUAAUAUACCGUUUCCAGGCUUGCAGGAAAAGAUGUAGUUGCACGAUUAAUGACAGGAUAAAUCCAACCCGGAACAGGAGGCCCAAUGGGGAUUCUUGAAAUGUAAGUCGGAUCGGAUCCGGGAAAGUCGCUUGAGACGCUCGGCAACAGACCUCACGGAUGAAUGGCUAACCAGGACAGCCCUCGGCUUAUCGGCUGACUUCCCAU
rnacentral:RNase_P_RNA from 1 species